rnacentral:rRNA from 1 species
UGGGAUCUUCGGACCUCGCGCUAUUAGAUAAGCCUAUGUCCGAUUAGCUAGUUGGUAGGGUAAAGGCCUACCAAGGCGACGAUCGGUAGCUGGUCUGAGAGGAUGAUCAGCCACACGUGGGACUGAGACACGGCCCAGACUCCUGCGGGAGGCAGCAGUGGGGAAUAUUGGACAAUGGGCGAAAGCCUGAUCCAGCAAUGCCGCGUGUGUGAAGAAGGCCUGCGGGUUGUAAAGCACUUUCAAUAGUGAAGAAGGAUUUGUGUCGAAUAGACAUGGAGACAGACAUUAACUGUAGAAGAAGCACCGGCUAACUCCGUG